AGGGUUUGAUUAUGGCUCAGGACGAACGCUGGCGGCGUGCUUAACACAUGCAAGUCGAACGAGACGAUUGAAAGCUUGCUUUUGAGAGUCGAGUGGCAAACGGGUGAGUAACGCGUAGACAACCUGCCGUAAAGAUGGGGACAACAGUUCGAAAGGACUGCUAAUACCGAAUGUUGUAGAGUUUCCGCAUGGGGAUCCUACUAAAGGUGGCCUCUACUUGUAAGCUAUCGCUUUACGAUGGGUCUGCGUCUGAUUAGCUAGUUGGUGGGGUAACGGCCUACCAAGGCGACGAUCAGUAGCCGGUCUGAGAGGAUGAACGGCCACAUUGGAACUGAGACACGGUCCAG
rnacentral:rRNA from 1 species